AACGAACGCUGGCGGCAUGCCUAACACAUGCAAGUCGAACGAGACCUUCCGGUCUAGUGGCGCACGGGGGCGGAACGCGUGGGAACCUGCCCGUAGGUAAGGAAUAACUCCCCGAAAGAGGUGCUAAUACCGGAUAAUCUCUUCGGACCAAAGAUUUAUCGCCUUUGGAUGGGCCCGCGUCGGCUUAGCUGGUUGGUAGGGUAAAAGCCUACCAACGCGACGUUCCAUAGCUGGUCUGUGAGGAUGAUUCGCCACACUGGGACUGCGACCCGGCCCACACUGCUAGGGGAGGCAGCAGUGGAGAAUAUUGGACACGGGACCAGAACGUGGUGCAGCCAUGCCGGGUAAGUCAUGAAGGCGUUAGGGUUGUAAAGCUGUUUUACACGGGGUGAUAAUGACAGUACCGGGGGAAUAAGCGCCGGCUAACUCCGUG
rnacentral:rRNA from 1 species